CGAACGCUGGCGGCAGGCCUAACACAUGCAAGUCGAGCGCACCCUUCGGGGCGAGCGGCGGACGGGUUAGUAACGCGUGGGAACGUACCCUUGUCUACGGAAUAGCCUUUGGAAACGAAGAGUAAUACCGUAUACGCCCUUCGGGGGAAAGAUUUAUCGGACAAGGAUCGGCCCGCGUUAGAUUAGAUAGUUGGUGGGGUAAUGGCCUACCAAGUCUACGAUCUAUAGCUGGUUUUAGAGGAUGAUCAGCAACACUGGGACUGAGACACGGCCCAGACUCCUACGGGAGGCAGCAGUGGGGAAUCUUAGACAAUGGGCGCAAGCCUGAUCUAGCCAUGCCGCGUGUGUGAUGAAGGCCCUAGGGUCGUAAAGCACUUUCGCUAGGGAUGAUAAUGACAGUACCUAGUAAAGAAACCCCGGCUAACUCC
rnacentral:rRNA from 1 species